GUAGGGAAUCUUGCGCAAUGGGCGAAAGCCUGACGCAGCCAUGCCGCGUGAAUGAUGAAGGUCUUAGGAUUGUAAAAUUCUUUCACCGGGGACGAUAAUGACGGUACCCGGAGAAGAAGCCCCGGCUAACUUCGUGCCCGCAGCCGCGGUAAUACGACGGUGGCUAGCGUUGCUCGGACUUACUGGGCGUAAAGGGAGCGUAGGCGGAUAGUUUAGUCAGAGGUGAAAGCCCAGGGCUCAACCUUGGACUUGCCUUUGAUACUGUCUAUCUUGAGUAUGGAAGAGGUAUGUGGAACUCCGAGUGUAGAGGUGAAAUGCGUAGAUAUUCGGAAGAACACCAGUGGCGAAGGCGACAUACUGGUCCAUUACUGACGCUGAGGCUCGAAAGCGUGGGGAGCAAACAGGAUUAGAUACCCCGGUAGUCC
rnacentral:rRNA from 1 species